rnacentral:rRNA from 1 species
CCCGCUCAGGACGAACGCUGGCGGCGUGCCUAAUACAUGCAAGUCGAGCGGACAGAAGGGAGCUUGCUCCCGGAUGUUAGCGGCGGACGGGUGAGUAACACGUGGGUAACCUGCCUGUAAGACUGGGAUAACUCCGGGAAACCGGAGCUAAUACCGGAUAGUUCCUUGAACCGCAUGGUUCAAGGAUGAAAGACGGUUUCGGCUGUCACUUACAGAUGGACCCGCGGCGCAUUAGCUAGUUGGUGGGGUAAUGGCUCACCAAGGCGACGAUGCGUAGCCGACCUGAGAGGGUGAUCGGCCACACUGGGACUGAGACACGGCCCAGACUCCUACGGGAGGCAGCAGUAGGGAAUCUUCCGCAAUGGACGAAAGUCUGACGGAGCAACGCCGCGUGAGUGAUGAAGGUUUUCGGAUCGUAAAGCUCUGUUGUUAGGGAAGAACAAGUGCGAGAGUAACUGCUCGCACCUUGACGGUACCUAACCAGAAAGCCACGGCUAACUACGUGCCAGCAGCCGCGGUAAUACGUAGGUGGCAAGCGUUGUCCGGAAUUAUUGGGCGUAAAGGGCUCGCAGGCGGUUUCUUAAGUCUGAUGUGAAAGCCCCCGGCUCAACCGGGGAGGGUCAUUGGAAACUGGGAAACUUGAGUGCAGAAGAGGAGAGUGGAAUUCCACGUGUAGCGGUGAAAUGCGUAGAGAUGUGGAGGAACACCAGUGGCGAAGGCGACUCUCUGGUCUGUAACUGACGCUGAGGAGCGAAAGCGUGGGGAGCGAACAGGAUUAGAUACCCUGGUAGUCCACGCCGUAAACGAUGAGUGCUAAGUGUUAGGGGGUUUCCG